rnacentral:rRNA from 1 species
UAGGGAAUCUUCGGCAAUGGACGGAAGUCUGACCGAGCAACGCCGCGUGAGUGAAGAAGGUUUUCGGGUCGUAAAGCUCUGUUGUAAGAGAAGAACGAGUGUGAGAGUGGAAAGUUCACACUGUGACGGUAUCUUACCAGAAAGGGACGGCUAACUACGUGCCAGCAGCCGCGGUAAUACGUAGGUCCCGAGCGUUGUCCGGAUUUAUUGGGCGUAAAGCGAGCGCAGGCGGUUAGAUAAGUCUGAAGUUAAAGGCUGUGGCUUAACCAUAGUAGGCUUUGGAAACUGUUUAACUUGAGUGCAAGAGGGGAGAGUGGAAUUCCAUGUGUAGCGGUGAAAUGCGUAGAUAUAUGGAGGAACACCGGUGGCGAAAGCGGCUCUCUGGCUUGUAACUGACGCUGAGGCUCGAAAGCGUGGGGAGCAAACAGGAUUAGAUACCCUGGUAGUCCACGCCGUAAACGAUGAGUGCUAGGUGUUAGACCCUUUCCGGGGUUUAGUGCCGCAGCUAACGCAUUAAGCACUCCGCCUGGGGAGUACGACCGCAAGGUUG